CCUACGGGAGGCUGCAGUGGGGAAUCUUGCGCAAUGCUCGUAAGCGUGACGCAGCGACGCAGCGUGAAUGACGACGGCCUUCGGGUCGUAAAGUUCUUUCGAUAGGGAAGUAAAUGCCUAUACGUAACUGUUUUUGUAUUUACGGUAUCUGUAUAAGCAGCCCCGGCUCAAUCCGUGCCAGCAGCCGCGGUGAUACGGCGGAGGCGAGCGUUGUUCGGAGUUACUGGGCGUAAAGGGCACGUAGGUGGUGUUGUAAGUCAGUGGUCAAUGUCUAGUGCUCAACUGUAAAAAGGCUAUGGAUACUAGAAGACUAGAGUAACAGAGAGGUAUGCAGAAUUCCUGGUGUAGCGGUGAAAUGCGUAGAUAUCACGAAGAAUACCGAUAGCGAAGGCAGCAAACUGGCUUGAAACUGACGCUGAUGUGCGAAAGCGUGGGUAGCAAACAGGAUUAGAUACCCUUGUAGUC
rnacentral:rRNA from 1 species